rnacentral:lncRNA from 1 species
AUGGUUAUACGAAUAGAAUCGUUGGUGCUAAUUGUUUUUCAACUACUUGAAACUAAGCCACCCUUAAUUACUAAUGAAUAUGAAAAGUUUGUUAAACUUAAUCAUUAACUCAUCUUGCUUUAACCCAACCCACGCCUAUUGGGUUAAUGACUUUAAUGAUUAUUGCUACAAUCCUAACUUCAAGUAUAGCGGGCCUACGGAUCCUUUGAAAUCACUAACCAUUUUUUUUAUUCUGCUUAUCUCCUACUUCCCUUACUUGAGCCAACAUUUGACAAUAUUACGCAUAUUCAGAUUACCACUACUGGAUAUAACAUUUAAAAGCUACUUACAUAGUUUAACAUCUCAUCGUAAAAGAAACAACCCAAAACCCCUAAAGCAAUUGUUGAUUACACACAGUCAUGUUUCUAUUAUUCAUACAUAAUAUAAAACAGUUAAUAUUGAAUGAUUCUACUUCAUUUAACAUCUAUUGCAUUAAAGACAACAAAUAACAUCCCAAUCAACAGAAACAGUAAUGCAAUAGCCCAGAAACAGAUUUGGAAACCAGUUGAACAAACUCCAACAACCAGUGGAAAAAUAACCCAAAAACCAACCAGCCUUAGAAAAACCAAACAAAAAUCUAGAAAUGCAAAUAACACUCCCAGGCAGAACAGAAUGAACCAGAAACAAAAGAAUACAAUGGUUUCUGAUUUCGAACACUCAAAGAAAGAAGCUUGAAGCUUCAAUGAAACAAUAACAAUUAGGGCUGAUUUCAGCAGUGAAAGAAAAUAGAAUUUUCUCAGUAUUUAGCUCUCAAAAGUCUGAAAUUCUUCAGAUUCAAAAGUUCUAUUUAUGUUUCUUUUUAAGUUCUGAAAUUCUGCUCUCAGUAAUUCAGUCUCUCACUCCUUCCAUCUCCCUCUAUUUAAAGAACAAGUUUUUGCUCCCUUUUUUCUUUACAGCUUGUUUAUUCCCUCCCAUGUGUGCCAUUUUAACUUUUCAUUAUUACCCCCAUGUUAUCUACUUUCCAGCUUGUAGUAUUCCUUUCCCAUGUGAACCCUUUAAAUUUUCAUUAUUAUCCCCCAUGUUAUCUACUUUCCAGUUUCUAAAGGCACUUAACAUAUUAUCACUCCCACUAUUGAUCAAAUAAUUUCAUUAGUUUAAU